rnacentral:rRNA from 1 species
GGUAUGAUUCAUGACUGGGGUGAAGUCGUAACAAGGUAACCGUAGGGGAACCUGCGGUUGGAUCACCUCCUUACAGAA